rnacentral:rRNA from 2 species
GUUUGGUUAAGUUAGAAAGGGCGCACGGUGGAUGCCUUGACACUAGGAGUCGAUGAAGGACGGGACUAACGCCGAUAUGCUUCGGGGAGCUGUAAGUAAGCUUUGAUCCGAAGAUUUCCGAAUGGGGAAACCCACUAUACGUAAUGGUAUGGUAUCCUUACCUGAAUACAUAGGGUAUGGAAGACAGACCCAGGGAACUGAAACAUCUAAGUACCUGGAGGAAGAGAAAGCAAAUGCGAUUUCCUGAGUAGCGGCGAGCGAAACGGAACAUAGCCCAAACCAAGAGGCUUGCCUCUUGGGGUUGUAGGACAUUCUAUACGGAGUUACAAAGGAACGAGGUAGACGAAGCGACCUGGAAAGGUCCGUCGUAGAGGGUAACAACCCCGUAGUCGAAACUUCGUUCUCUCUUGAAUGUAUCCUGAGUACGGCGGAACACGUGAAAUUCCGUCGGAAUCUGGGAGGACCAUCUCCCAAGGCUAAAUACUCCCUAGUGAUCGAUAGUGAACCAGUACCGUGAGGGAAAGGUGAAAAGCACCCCGGAAGGGGAGUGAAAGAGAUCCUGAAACCGUGUGCCUACAAAUAGUCAGAGCCCGUUAAUGGGUGAUGGCGUGCCUUUUGUAGAAUGAACCGGCGAGUUACGAUCCCGUGC